GUUCUCACUUUCCCAGCACAUACCCUAAAACUGGACCAAUGUGGAGGUGAGCACUGGCUCUGCGCAAGGACUACAUACAAAUUCAUGAAGUGUCCCAUGCUUCA
rnacentral:snRNA from 1 species